AUAUAUUAAACUCAACUUUUUUUUUUGUUUUCCACGGAACACAACUUAUAGAAAUAAACCUCCUGUUAAAUUAUCAAGCAUUUUUGUUUGAUCUAACAAUGUUAUCCACAGAGUAACUACCUUGAUUCUUUAGGGGAAGAACUGCACGUAAGGGCGAAGUACCCCAUCGUAGCACCAUGAUACACUCACAAAAAAACUACCUU